rnacentral:rRNA from 1 species
GUCUUCAGGGACGAUAAUGACGGUACCUGAGGAGGAAGCCACGGCUAACUACGUGCCAGCAGCCGCGGUAAUACGUAGGUGGCAAGCGUUGUCCGGAUUUACUGGGCGUAAAGGGAGCGUUGGUGGAUAUUUAAGUGGGAUGUGAAAUACUCGGGCUUAACCUGGGUGCUGCAUUCCAAACUGCAUAUCUAGAGUGCAGGAGAGGAAAGUAGAAUUCCUAGUGUAGCGGUGAAAUGCGUAGAGAUUAGGAAGAAUACCAGUGGCGAAGGCGACUUUCUGGACUGUAACUGACACUGAGG